rnacentral:rRNA from 1 species
CCUACGGGAGGCAGCAGUGAGGAAUAUUGGUCAAUGGGCGCAAGCCUGAACCAGCCAAGUCGCGUGAGGGAUGACGGUCCUAUGGAUUGUAAACCUCUUUUGUCGGGGAGCAAGGCCUGCCACGUGUGGCGGGAAGGAGAGUACCCGAAGAAAAAGCAUCGGCUAACUCCGUGCCAGCAGCCGGGGUAAUACGGAGGAUGCGAGCGUUAUCCGGAUUUAUUGGGUUAAAAGGGUGCGUAGGCGGAAGGUUAAGUCAGCGGUAAAAUGUCGGUGCUCAACAGCGGCCUGCCGUUGAAACUGGUCUUCUUGAGUGAGCGAGAAGUAUGCGGAAUGCGUGGUGUAGCGGUGAAAUGCAUAGAUAUCACGCAGAACUCCGAUUGCGAAGGCAGCAUACCGGCGCUCAACUGACGCUGAGGCACGAAAGCGUGGGGAUCGAACAGGAUUAGAUACCCGAGUAGUC